GUGAGGAAUAUUGGUCAAUGGACGGAAGUCUGAACCAGCCAAGUAGCGUGCAGGAUGACGGCCCUAUGGGUUGUAAACUGCUUUUAUGCGGGGGUAAAGUGAGUGACGUGUCAUUCAUUGCAAGUACCGCAAGAAUAAGGACCGGCUAAUUCCGUGCCAGCAGCCGCGGUAAUACGGAAGGUCCUGGUGUUAUCCGGAUUUAUUGGGUUUAAAGGGAGCGUAGGCCGUCAGGCAAGCGUGUUGUGAAAUGUCGUGGCUCAACCAUGGACUUGCAGCGCGAACUGCCCGACUUGAGUGCGCAGAAAGCAGGCGGAAUUUGUGGUGUAGCGGUGAAAUGCUUAGAUAUCACGAAGAACCCCGAUUGCGAAGGCAGCCUGCUGUAGCGCUACUGACGCUGAAGCUCGAAAGUGCGGGUAUCGAACAGGAUUAGAUACCCGUGUAGUCC
rnacentral:rRNA from 1 species